CCGGCAGGGUGGAGCUCAAACCCACCUGGAAGGGAGAGGCCUAGCGGACCGUGUAGGGUGAAGCAGGAUCAGGGACGAGCGGUGCGAAGGGGCAACUAAACGUGGGCCGGGCAACGCGAAAAGGUGCAGGGUGAGGAGCCAGCGUACCAGACUCCCGAAACCAGCACUCUACUCCGUCCUCCGUCAUGGCUAAAGAUAUCCAGGAAGAUGGGGAAAAUGUUUCAAGGAUGUUCUCAAAGUCAUUGAAAACAUGGAACAUAUUCUUUAACUCAUGGGAAUCCCUGGCCCAUGACUGCUCAAGAUUGCGAAGGAGCUUCCCAGAAGAUUCCUACAACUCCAGUCUCCAGUAACGUAACUGUUGUUGUAUCGAGAGAAGCUGAGACUGCGGGGAUUGAGUAGUGGUUGGCAAACAACUGAAUAUCUCCUGGAUAUCUGGCAACGGGAAAGGAAUCUACACACCACCCACUGGAGUUUUCAUGUUGGGUGGCCAGUCUCUGUGAUUCACUCUGUCCCGGGUACUUGAAGCUCUUCAUCAUUGUCCUCACCUUUU